GUCUCAGCGCCGGGGCCGGGGCCGGGGCGGCGGACGCGCCCCAGGGGGGCAGCAGACUCCCAUCGCCGCCGGAGCGCCGACCCAACACCGUGCCCCCGACAGAGCCCGCUCCUCCGCUAAAAAUAGGCUCCCAAGGAGUCGGCCUCAUGAUGGCUCCUUGAUCCAAUUUGCUGCACAUUCUUUCCUGAAAGCCUCCCCCCACACAUACACACUCAAAGGGGGUGUCCGUGCACCGAGGCUGGACGAGGGGGAGCAGGCCGAGGUGCACAUUUUCGGGGACAACAACAUAAUCAGGAGAGAAGGAGAGAGUCCUGAAGACGGAGAAAGAAUGGUGGUCUUCAGUUUGUUCUUCACGUAGCAGAGACCCAUGCCUCUUGAAGCAUUGUGGGGAGAACUUGUAGAGGAAGGACUGGAUGGUGUACAUAGAGAGGCUCUACAUGAGACUCUGGGCUUUCAGUCCUGGCAGAGAAUUCUGUGCCAACCUUGGCAGAAAUCAGCAGAGCCGUCUGAACUUACGGGAGCAUGAGAGCUUGGACAAUGCGCACAUGGGUGAAGUCUGCUAUGGGGUGAAGACAAGAAGGAUUGAUCUAAACAACAUAAAUCAAUCUAGUUGGAGAUAAGUUUGAAGUUGGAAUCAGACAACUCAAAUUGUUCCUGUCCUCUGGCAAGUCCAGUCAACCCUGAACUGAGCAGUGCGGCAGCAUCCAGCUGACCCAGAAACCCAGCUCUGAGACUAUGGAAAUUUUAUAUUGAAGAGUCUCAAAAGUUCCAAGGACCAUAAAGUUUUCAAAUAAAAAAGCACUCUCAAGAGUGGGAAUUCAGGGAGCUAAUUCUUUAAUUUGAUUAAGAAGUGAUCACCAGCCCUAGCCGGUUUGGCUCAGUGGAUAGAACGUUGGCCUGUGGACUAAAGGGUCCCAGGCUCGAUUCCGGUCAUGGGCACCUGCCCUGGG